CUUGUUCUGGCUUCCCAAGUAGGCAGAAUUGGUUUCCCCUGGAAGCAAAGACCCUUGGUCUAACGUAGAGCUGCUCCAAUCUCUAAGAGAACUGGAUGACCUGGAUACAUGAUAGGAGAGCUCUUGCCGUCCUAUUCCUACUCUUGACUCAAUCUACAGGGUGUCAGGACGGCUGAGUGGUCUAAGGCGCCAGACUCAAAAAAUCAAGUCUACUGCUUUAAGAAAGAGAAAUUAAGAGUAAAGCAGGAGACCAUGACUACACUGCUUGCUAUUUCAUGAAGAUGUGCAAGACAACAAAGGAGGCACAAUGCUGAAGCCAGCAACUAUAGUCCAAACUUCUUGAUUUGGCAGCUUCCUAUUUGUAGCACAGGCAGCUUGGUUCUGGAAAAUACAGCUACAAAAGCUGCUCCUGAGUUGACAAUUUCCUAAUUAUGCAGAAGUACUAGGUCUCUUAGAAGCCAGUUUUGCAGCAUGCUCCAAUAGUCAUUCUUGAAAACCUGGCCUAGAACUGUUUCUUCAACCUUCCUAACAAUUCUGCAAGCUCUCUAUAUCCUUUAUUAAAGGCCGUCCCAUCGUCCUGGCUACAAUAGCCAGAGUGGAUCUUACUGUAUGCAACAAAUAAUCCCCCAAAAUAUAUGGCUGUGAGGAAAGUACAGUAGCUCAUAGGAGAGGGCUGUCACUGUAGAUAUUGUGUUGCACAUAAUUUUAUGCAUUUUUUUCCUACUGAAUAUAUGUAGAUCUAAAGUCUUCAUGGCAGGGCUUAUGAUUAAAAAAAUUUUUUAUAUAUAUAAGAGGAAAAGACACUUCUAUAGUUAUUUACCUGCA